rnacentral:rRNA from 1 species
CCGGCUAACUCCGUGCCAGCAGCCGCGGUAAUACGGAGGGUGCAAGCGUUAUCCGGAUUCACUGGGGUUAAAGGGUGCGUAGGUGGAUUGGUAAGUCCGUGGUGAAAUCUCCAAGCUUAACUUGGAGACUGCCGUGGAUACUAUCAGUCUUGAAUCCCCUGGAGGUAAGCGGAAUAUGUCAUGUAGCGGUGAAAUGCUUAGAUAUGACAUAGAACACCAAUUGCGAAGGCAGCUUACUACAGGAGUAUUGACACUGAGGCACGAAAGCGUGGGGAUCAAACA